rnacentral:lncRNA from 1 species
GCGCCGCCCGUGGCGCUGGCCCUGGCUUCCGGAGCGGGACGGAAGGGCGGGCGGCUGGCGGUGCCGAGGCCGGAGCCGCGUGGGUCCCUUCGGGGAAGGGCGCGGCUCCCCGCCUUGGUCCCGCGUGCGUUUCCUUCUGUUCCCCUCGUUCAUGUCCCCACCCGCCCCCAGGUGCGCAGGACCUCACGCAGUGGCCGCAGUGGAGGCCGCACAGCCGGGGGACAGAGAUCAAAGCGGGGCGGGCCCGGCGCGCCACCGGGACGCGCGCUGCUGGCCCGCCCGGCCAGGAGGGAGAGCAGGCGGAUCAAAGCGCGCGGUGCCGGGGCCGGCCUUUCCGCGCGAGCGAGGCCGGGACGCAGCGCCCCUGGGCAGGACGCGAGGCUCCCUGUAAGCCAGGGCGUCGGCUCUCGCCCUCCACGGGGAGGAGGCCGGGCCCCGGCGAGGCGUCCCACUCCCGCCCUGGCCAGGCUCGGUCCCCGGUCAGGGAUUGCAGAGCCCCCCUUCUGUCGGCUGUGACUCGGGCCUGAGCUGUGUGACUGUGCCGCAUCAAAGUUUGAAGGCCCAGCGAUCAUAAUAGCAGCUGCCAGUUAUUGGGAACCACGUGCCAGGCAGGCCGGGGACCUAUGCCUUUGUGUCGUCGCAUUACUCCUCGUAGCAGCGCCAUUAAAUGCUGGUAUGGCCCACCACCCCCUUUCGCAGAUGGAGGGGCUGAGAUCAGAAGCAGUUUGCCCCAGGCCUCUCGGGAGAAGCGGCACAGCCUGCAUUUGGGCCGGAUCCCUGAUUCUGCAUCUGAGGCUUUUACACUCUGCUAAUCUGGCUCCUGUGACAAUAGAUUCAGGGGGCGCAGCUGGCUGCCAGCUCUGUUGCUUACCUUAGCUCACUGCUGCCUCAUCCCCAGUAGGAAGACCCUUCUACCCAGAGCUAAGCCCCACUUCCCAUUCUGACGAUGCCCAGGACCUGUGAGCUCUAUGCCAGGAGCCUGAAGAUUCCAUGCCAAGUUAGCACCCACCUGUCACACGGGGUCUCCUUGCUCAGGUGAUGGGAAAAGACACGGUCUGUCCAGCAUCUGAGGAGAGGCCGUGAGAAAGUGGGUGAUUUCAGAACGCCCAGUUUGUUGGACCAAGUCUGCCAUGCCGGUGUCAUGAGGCUGGGAAGUGUGGGUGAGCGCAUUUCCCGCGACGUUCACCAAACCCCAGCUACCCCAAGGCUGCCUGCCUCUCUCAUCUCCACCCUCUCUCCCUGGGAGACACGGAGACGGGCAUUUUGGCUAUCCACGUGGCUUUCCAGGUUGGUAUAAAAGGCCGAGUGAUGCUGGACAUUGGCGGCAGACCAGACACGAGGCCCAGCACAGGGUGCCCACAGCAAUCCAGAUUUUCCAGCCUCCAUAUGUAUGUACCUCGGGGAGGAAGCUGCAAAUUUGAAUUUUUUUGUUUUUGGCUCCAUAUUAAAGAACAAAGCAUGGGAACUGGACAGGCCCCUCUGUAAACAGAAAACACAUGUUUUCUGAGAGAAUGGGCUCUUCCUUUCCUGGUUUCUUCCCCCGUGGACAAGGCCUCCUUAGACCUGCUGGCUUCGAGAACAGGGAGGCCUUGGACCCCAGGCUGAGAGGAGGAAAGCAACACAGCCGUACGUAGAAGUGUCAGGAUAAAGCUGUUCCCAGCAGCAUGAUUUACAGUAGCAAACACUUCAACGGGACAACAUGUCUGACAACAGUGGCAAAAGUGAUAACCCACCCAGGAUGAACUCAGCGCGAUGCUCCAGGCAGGAAACACACGGACCACGCCCACACGGUGGGUCUACCUCAACCUGUGCCAGUGACACAGCUCGUUAAAAAUUUAAAGCAUUCACAAAGUUCUGUUCGCAAUAGCCAGAACAUCAGAAAUAACCCAACUGUCCACCCACAGAUGAGUGGGUAAACAGACUGUGGGCGCCAUACGAUGGGAUACCGUAAAACAAUAAGGCGUGGGCUGGUGAGAGACUCAGCGACGUCCAUGAGUGUCAGUUAUGCUGAGCAAGAGAUCCUACUCUCUGAUCCCGCUUAUGUUAAAUUAAAUAAAGCUGUGGCAGGUCAGGGACGCAGAGCUGGGUCCAGGACUGGGCUGCGAGGAUGCCCCGGUCCAGCGAAAGGGAACCGCCUGGAAGCUGGUAGCAGAGUGAGAGGCGGGGCCCCUUCCCUGGCUCUUUGGCCGUUUCUGGGCUGGGUUAUUCUCGAGGGCUGCCGUGCCCACUGGGCUCUGCCGAUGAAGGGAGGAGGCCUGUCCCUGAACCAGCUGGGGUAGCCGUGAAGCCAGACCCUCCCGUUUGGAGUGCCGCAACCCUGUAGCUCUGAGCACCUCUCCCAAAGGGAUCAGCUACAUAAUUUUCAGGGCCCAGGGCAAAAUGGAAAUGCAGGGCCGCUUGUUCAAAAGAUGAAGAAUUCUAAGAUGGGGACAGCAGAGCAGUGAGCACGGGGCUGCAGCACAGGUCACACGCCCAUGAAGCCUGCUGGGACAAGAUCUUGACGGUUUUUGAUGGAGCUAGGGUGAGCGACAUCCCCUUUUGGGACGAACAGCACCAGUGACCAGAUGUCAGAAAGCAAAUGGGUGCAAGCUCCAGGAAGACGUGAGGUUCUCAACGCGUUUUCCGGUCCUGAAAACACCAAGUGGCGGCAGCUGAGGAUGGGAGAGGGCGAGCCAGGCAGGCUUCCCUCCCCAGGAGAGGGCCAAGCCUCUGUGCUAGGAGCUUUCACUUCAGGUGAGGGGUAUCUACUGCAUAUUGUUGUGAAAUGUCACACCCUGGCACUGAGCCUCAAGACUCGAUGGAACUUCAACCGCUCUGCUGGAGUGUGCACAGCUGGCCUGCCUACAUCCUGGGGAGAAAUGAGAAGAGCCGACGCCCAUGCUUGCUCCUGUAAAAACACAAUAAGAAACCUCAUUCCACUCCCUCUGGGAAAGGAUCCUGGGGUUCACUGGUGGGUGGAUUUUACCCCCAAAUGAGGCCAAAUGCAGGCACUGGGGACAAACUGGCAGCCUGUGUAUGUAAGCUGAUGAGUAUUUGCGGCUCUGAAAACUGGCUCCAUGUCCCCCCCGCCCCAGCCAGCCCCAGGCACCACCUGUCCACCUCCACUACCUCCAUGUCCUCAGCCCCAUGAAAAGUUCCGGAAGUCUCCAGAUGGAUGGGCAGCACCAUCAAGUGCCCCCGUGGCUGCACCCUCUUCCGUGAACCACGUAUGGAGGUCCAGGACCGACUCCAGAAAGGAUCACAUUUGAGAAUCGCUAGUGCUCUCUGGAGCUCGGAACACCGCCCACUUUUGUGGAACAAGAGACAACAUGCUGCCCCCACCCCAACCCUCACCCUGGUGUCCACGGCCCCCUCACUCAAUUUUAAGAAACAAACAGAUAACCCCACGCUCCCCAGCCUGAAACAGUGCUCUGGGACAGCCGGCCUGUGAUCAAGCGUCUCCUCCGUAAGCAUGUCUGGCAGGGAAGGAUGGACAGAUGAAUAGACGAACAGAGCAGUGCAGGAGCAUCUCAAGGCCCAUCGGCAGCUCGACAUCUGUGCCCCUCAGCUCCUGUUCCAGUGCUCACAGGGCCCUCAAAGGGCCUGGGCUUGGCCACUGCACAGGUUCCCAGGCCUGGGGCCACUUGGUAGCCUCCCCCAGCUCAGACGUGUCCCCAAGGACCCUGCCAGGCAGAGCCGAGAAGGCAAAAAACAGCGCCAGCAGCCAAGGAGCUCCCAAGAAGAGGAGGCCCGAGCUUCCAGCUCAGGGUGCGAAAAGGAAGCAAGAGAAAGGGGUCUUGGAAGCCUUUGCCCUUGAAGACGGACUGAGUAGCUUCCAAUUCUUGGCCAAGCCAGGCAAGGCCCUCUGGCCCAGUCUUCAUUUACUUCAUUGUUUUGUUCACCUGGCUUUGCCAGGGAGACUUUUAAAAAUGUUGUUUGUUUCUGAGCUGGUCAUUUGUGGGGUGGAAUAUUCUAGUGCGGAAUUUGGCUCUGGGAAGACUCGGUGUUCUGGAGUCACCGGGCAGUGUCUUGCUCUCCUGAGGACGAGCCUGGGGUGGGGGUCCUGCGUGUGCCACGAGUUGGAAGGAGCAGGUGCAUCAGUAAAUGUUAGGGGUGGUGCUAAUCUGCCGGAACGGGAGCCCUCUGGAGACGUGCCCUGCUCUUGUGGCCUUCCAUAGACCUCUUCCCCAAACACCCCAAUUCCUCUUUCUUUAUCCCUUCCUCACUGUCCUUCCUCCCACUGUCACAGCGCCCACCUGUCCUUUCUCUUUUCUGAGGAACAAUAACUCCAUCUGGUCGGCAUAGAUGUGCCACUGCAGAAUGCUGAUGUCCGGGCCCGGGACCCUGGCCACGCUCCGGGAGAGAACCGCCACGAUCCAGGUGUGCGUUGAGAAGUUUUUUCCCAGCGCAAGAAGUUUCCCAGUGAGCCUUGGAGUCCUCCUAGAAAUUUCCGGCAUUCUACGUGUGAGAGACUGCCAGUUUCGGAGAAAUUGUGAGAGAGAGGGAAAGAGGCUUGGGUGCCUGCGUCCACUACCUCCGGCUGGACCAGGAGCCUGGGAAGGGCCCUCUUUGGGAGCAGGAUCUUGGAGCAUAUUUAGAAUUCAGAGUUGAAAACUGGUUAACGGAUAAGAUAUGAGCAAGGGCGUUAACUUUGAUGGUGGUUGACAAUCCCUGCCCGUGAUCAUCGUCAAAAACCGAGCACGGGAGUGAAAAUGCCUGUCCGCCUCUCCCAUUCUGUUGAAAUCCAUUUUAAAAAUAUAUGUUCAUCAUGGGGAAAUUAUAUAGACUCUUAUUUUCAAGGUUAAUGCCAUCCGUUGUCUGAUUGCUUACAUUACCACUUUCUUUUGGUUAAAAAAAAAACAAACUUCAUGUUCUUUUAAAAUUGGGAAUUACACCGAAAGUUGCUCUAUAAAUAGCAGGAAACAAAACAGGACAAAAGCAGUGGCUUUCUUUUUUAGUAUUUUUCUUUGCGGCUAUUAAAUAUUAUCCUGUUUUGCAGUGGUAGAUUUAGUUAAGCUAUUUCUUCACUUUUUGUAGAAAGGGCAUAUGUGAAAAAUCCCACCUUAACCUUGUCUUUCUGUUAACUGGAUCUAAAAUCUAUGAUAUUUAGACAUAGUCAGGAGAAUGAAACUAUUACAUAUUAAAGCAAAUUACUCACCUGUGUUGUAUGAAAUCAUAUUAGAUUUUGUAAAAAAUAAAAUGAGAAUAUUUCAAUAAAUAAGCCCGGCGUGGUCAAAUUUCAAACAACUUGUAAUUGACCCCCCCCAAAAAAAACCCUCAUUCUGCAUGUGAUUAUUUUGCAGGCAGUUUAGGUUUCGUUGCGACCAUUUUAAAGAAGUGAUCUGUGAAGUUUUGAUUUAAAAAAAGUUCUUGCUGUCCCUUGCAAUUUGACAAUGAACUGUUUGAGUUCUAAAUCAGGGUUUAUUUCCUUUCCUUUUUUUUCUUUAUUCUAGAGGGCUUAUAAUUUACUUAGCUCACUAAAUAACUGUAUGACUAAGAAAUGAUACUGAAGUUCUCAUUUCAUUUGUGGGGAAGAAAAAAAUUAAACUGACUUUCAUUAGUAUUUCAGCAUUAUUUAAAACAUUUUUAACUAAACAUUUGAUAGUUUUUAAAGUUUAAAAUUGCUUUAAAUUUUUCAUAUCUAAAUUCUGCUUAGAUGUAAUUCAAAAAGCAUAUGGGGUCAUUAAAAUAACGACUAUUUCAGGCCCCUUAAAGGACUGAUAUGAUGCAAAAAUACUUCAAAUAAAUCAGUGCUUUGCAACUGUGAAAGGAAGGCAUUCUUUGGACAUUUGAGGAAUGAAAUGCUUUUCAAAUUUUCUGAUGUCCUUUCAUUUUCGUGGAAAUCGGUACCUCCUUCUCCCAGAAACUGUUAAACUCCAAAUUCUAUAUAUCUUUAAUUGCUAAUAAACAUUUCCUAUAAGUGGCAUGAUAAAUUCUUUAGAAAAAUGUUAAUUUCUCUAAAUUUAUGAUGAUUCCAUUUUAGAAAUUGCAGGAUUGAGAGAUUAAAAUAAAUUCAGCACCCACUUCUCUUUGAAAGGUAAUUUUGAUUUUUUCAAAAUUUAGCUUGUAUUGUGCUUUUUCUCAUUCCUGAUAUGAAGCCAAGAAUCAAGUUUUGGCAUUUGAUGUACGCAUAUAGAACUGGAGAUCUUGGCCCGUCAGCCUCAAUUCACAUUUUCUGAUUUGUGUUGUUAGUACAUUGGAAUGGAAAAUAUUAAUCGUAAUUCCUCAUCCGUAAGGGGAAAAUUUUCAUGCCAGCAUGUAUGUAUUACAUACAGUAUAUUUCCAUAUUUAUAUAUAUAAUUGAACACAUGUUUAUCGUAGACGUCUAGUUGUUUUAUGUUCUCCUUUAUUUGAAAAAUAAUAACCCCUCAAGAAUGCUUUCCGGGUUGUUAGACUUUUUUUUAUAUAUACAUACACAGGUAACACAUGAUGAAAAGUGAAUGUGUGGACUUCCAAAUUGUGUAAAAUAUGGUGAAACAGCAGCUCACAGACCGUUUCUAAGCAGACGUGUGAUUGCCCAGUUGUGGGGUUACUGCCCAUCGGUCAGGAGGGAACAGAGGGCAUGCUGUUGAUCACUGCCGGCUGCAGGCACUCUAACUGUGUCCUUUCUAUUUUUCUAAAAAGGAAAGAAGGUAUAGAACUGGUAUGGCAGGUGCUGGUUUUUAGAGGGCGAGGGGUUGCUAAUGCCUCCUCCUGCCCGGUGCUUUGUUCCGCAAACACGCUUGUCCUGUGGCCAGAGUUUCAUUUCUGUUGUUAGUUAACUAAUGCCAAGUUUGACAUGAAACUGAGUGAACUGAAGCGAAAGAUUCGGAAAAACCCUUCAUUACGUUUGGAAGGAAGAACCCUUUCUGUGGAUGCUGCCUCACUUUUCCUUGCCCAGCCUGAGACCCUGUAAACUCUGUCUGACUUCUGUCUAAGCCAGUCGGCUUCUUUUCCCUCUCCUCUUCCUGAACUAUCUGCAUAAGAAAACAAAAAUGCUUACCCAAGGUGAACUGAUGAUGAUAGGUUUGUGCGUAAAUAAGUGAGAGCAAAACUGGACCCUUCGUAAAGUGGGAGUACAAGUGAUUACGACAUAGGCAUGUCAAAAUGGAAUCCCAAAGCUGCAGACUACUUUGAGACAAAGGCAAAAGAAAAAAAAAAUAUAGCUUCUUAGCGACUCCUCCAAAGGACGCCUUGGGAGGACUGAAGAAGUGGCAUCUUACUCAGGAGCUGCCACCAGCUCGCCAUCUCAAAUGUCUUGGGCCGGCUUUAAAAACAUCAUUGUUCUUGGGUGUGCAGGUUGGAUGUUCAAAAUCAAUGUGAAAAUGUAAGCUUUCAGUUACGCUCAUCCUACUUGCUUUAAUUAGACUAGAUGCAUCUGUUUACGAAGUCCUCGGAAUGCCUUGGAGACGAAAAAUUUUAAAUUAUUAAAUGUCACUACAUUGAGAUAAGAAAACCCCGAGUGCCCCCAGCCUUCUGAGGCUGAAGUGCGGCCGAAGCCUGAGCGGGGACGCAUGGGCUGGGGGGCAUAGCAGGAAGUUGCCGGUUGCAUUCCCAUUAGGCAGAUCUUGGGAGAAAUCAGGAAAAAAUAACCGUAUAAGGCUGAUACUAUAAACAUCCUGGGACAGCAAGAGCCUUCCUAUGACUUAUUUUUCUGGUGUGGCCCAGAGCUCAGACCAAGUUCUGCCUUCGGGAAACUUGUCCAUCAUAAGGCUCACCAACAAAGUAAAUUUUCCAGGUUUCCUUUUUGAUAAUUUGAGCACACUUUUUAAUAUUAUUUAUUUUGAAUAAUAUAAUAUGAUAGCGAGUUAGAAAAAGACUUUAAAAAACCAACCUGAAUGGAAUUCCUGAAUUCCAUUGGAAUUACCUGAAUCCUAUUAUUUUCCUUGACUCAAGCAGAAUUUGAUUUCUGAAUUUGCAACCAAAUUAUAUGUAAAUUCUUGCCGAGUAUAGAGGGGAUUAAAAAAAAAACAGUGUGUGUUCUUGAAUAUUGUUCUGACUCACCCAAUUUCUUGUUUUACCGAAUAAAAGUUGGGAGGAGGAAAAAGGCAUUAAAUUAACUUAUUACUGUGUGUGAGAGCAAGGAAAGAUAAAUCAGCUAAUAAAAAGGUUAGUAAGCCGGUAUGAUUAUACAAUGAUUUCAGGUGGAAAUUGCAAAGCUAAUAUCCUGGCAUUUAGUCAUUGUAAUGAUACAGUCGUCAAAUUUGUAUUUGUGCCAAUGGAACACAAGUUGUAAGUGGCAUAAUGGAAGAUAAUCUCUUUUUCUUUGUGGCUUUUUUAAUUCAAUGUUUUAAUCCACCCAUUUAAUCACAAAACAUAUAUCACAUUAGUUAUAAUAUUUAUAGUGUUUAGGAAAGUGAUUAUAAAUAGAUUAUAGUGUGGUUGGUGGAUGCAAUAUUUUUAUGUGUGUGUGAACAUAUCUCAAAGGUAUGCAGUGUUUCCAGAGUUUUGCACUUGGGAACGGUUUUACGUGAGAACAGUAACCAUAUAUUUAUUUUCAAAAUCCCCGUUCAGUUGUUACCGAGCUUGCUCAUUAUUUUGGAAAAACAAGAUUCGGUAUUAAAAGGGCCCGAUACUUCUGAUGUUUAGAUCUUUGCAUUCAGCCUAGUUUCAAAGCAGUUUUGUUGUUCUGGAGUCCUCAAGUUUGCUAAACCACAAAAUAUCUUUAAUAUGUUUUCUAAAGUAGUUGAGCCAUACCGUUAAGAUGAGGGACAGGCGGAAUUUAUAAUGGCCGUUAGUGGCUGGGUUCUUCCUUGGUGUGGCCGGAGCAGGAGGAGGGUGAUAGCGGGUUCUGUGUGGUUUUUGGGACUGCCCUGCACAUACUCAUCUCGUGGGGACGUGUUUGCUCACCCUGCACAUCCCAGUCGGGCUGGGAAUUAUAAUAGUGAAGAAAAUUACAAAGGACUAUGCUAGACGAGAGAUUGUUUUUCCCUGCGUGCGUAUUGCUAGAAUGUGGGUAUGGCAUUCCCGAGGCUCAGACUGCUGAGAGAACCAUCUUUUUCUGAGAAAGGAGGAACACAGAAUUCCUGGGCUUCCAGCUCUGGACCCCCCUAGCCCUCGAAACUGGGAGAGCCAGCCUGGACCUUCCUCAGGGAAAGAGUGAAACCCACCCCACUGUGAAAUCACCCCUGUUUGGGCUGUCUCUGCUCCUUGUCAGCAGCUAUGGAAAGUGAAAGUUGGUCAGGAUUUCAGUGAAAAGAUUAACCGGAAAGCAUGUCUACUACAUUUUCAAAAGCUGAAUUUUCUCAUAGGAAAAAAAGCUAUCCCUAGAAAGGAGAGGCCACAGUAAGAGUCUAACACCAAGGAAAGCAAUUUGGGGAGAUUUCUUAAUAUAUCCUGGGUUUUUUUCCCUCCCUCCCUUUCCCGCCUCAAAAUCAUGUAUGUCAUAGAGUAGUGGCAGUGGUGUGGGGGUGUCCAGCACAAUUCGAGGAUGAGGUCCAGGGUGUCUCGAAGGUGGGCCAGUGGGCAGCUGAGGCCCUGGGAGAGCUGCUCCAGCUGCCCCAGCCCAGCCUUGUCCAUGUGGCCAUUCUCUCUUCCUGAGCAGUGAAUCCAACGUGAAGUAGAGUUUCCUGGGAAGCAGGGCACACGAGGAACUUUUGAAUUUACCAAUGGCAUAAAAAGUAUAUAUAUUUUUAUGACAACGGGGAAGUUUCAAUUGGUUGACGGAAAUGGCGAGAUGUGACGUCAAGGGACAUUGGUUAGAAUGCCAAGGCCGGCUUGGGGGGUGGGGGGCUGGGGGGGAGACAGGCACAGAAACGUUGGGAUGGGGCCCAGGAGGCCUCGUUUCAAUUGGGCCCCCGUCGCAGGCGUCUGGGGACAGCCAGGUCCAUCUGACUCUGGGCGAGGGCAUGCCCAAGCUGGGGGAGGGGGUCCGAGCGCAGUGACCUCGUGUUGGCGUCCCCCAGCACCAGAGGCCCAGGCCGGCCCCUCUGCGGGGAAACCACUCAGGCGCCCCUGCGGAGGCUGCAGGAAAAGCUGCUUCAGCCUCCUUGGCAUUCUAACCAGUGUCGGGACCCUGGAGUCCAGCCGGUCGCGGCCCCGGGGAAGGGCGCGGGGAGGAACCGCGCUGCCAGGGGGCAACAGCGUAGUCGUCCGGCUCCGAAAGAGCAAAGCUGCGGCCUAGAACUUCUUCCCGCAGGUCUUGCGCCCUGGGCCAGGGGAGCAGGAAGUUGUCUCUGCGGGGAAGGAAGACAGCGAGCUCGGAGCUGGGCAGCAGCUCUGGGCACGGUGCCCCCGCCCAUCCCACGCCUCCCGGGCCACCGUGAGGGCACCCCCCCCAUUCGCCAGGCACCUUGCGCACCCCCUCCAUCUCUGGGCACUGUGCACUGCCCUCCUCCACUUCACCAGAUCCCGGGCACCGUGCCCCACCCUCCACAGGGCCGGCGGUGUCCGGGAAGCCGCCGGGAGGUCGCCCCUGGUGCGCGCCCUGCCCCGGGGAAGCCUGCUGCCACCGUCGACCCCGACCUCUGUCCUGGGACCUCGUCUGGAGAUCCAUGGCGCACAGCGGCCUCGCAGGGACGAGCCCGGCGACUGUGGCUGCUGUCCGCGGCGCGCACGGGGCUGCGGUCAGGCCAGGGACCGUCGGUCCGCCCGGGAUCCCCUAGCCGGGCCCGAGCGUGCGCGCGCGCGCCCUGCUGCCCGCAAUCAUGGCAGCCGGCGCCUCGGAGCGCAGCCGCCGAGCACGCUUCGGCAGCUGCCUCGGUGCCAGGGCGGCGAGGGCGGGCUAGGGCCGGGGCUUGCGCCUGUCCGCGCCCCUCGGGCGCGCAGGCCCCAGAGGGCGAAGCAGAAAGCUGAUGGGUCUCUGCGGAGCGGUGCCCCCUGCCCCGCACGGGCAGGCGGGAGGGGCCGCGGGCCGGGGGCGCGCGGACGGGGAGCGCCCGGGGCGGCAUGCCCGCGGGGGCGCGCACGCGGGGCUGCGGGACGAGGCGCGGGGCCCGGGCGGCGAAUCCGCUGCUCGCCCCGCCCGCCCCGCCCGCGCGCGCCGGCCCGAAGAGGAGGGUGCGCGGCGGAGGGGGGAAGCGGGAAGGGGCCGCGCCCCGUCCUCGCCCGUAGCGGGCAUGGCCGGGGGCCCCGGGAGGCCUCGUUGGUAUUCUGGGCACAGCCAAAGUGUUGACCUCCCCUCGGAACAGGGGCGCCAGGGUGCGCGGGCACGGCCACCACCCCCGGGCGGUCUCCCGGAGCUGCGGGGCCCAGAGGCGCCUUGCUCCCCCCACCGUCCCCUCCUCUCCGGGUCUCCCGUACCCCCUCCCCUGCCUCGAUCCGGCGGCGAAGGGGUGGGCAGGGAAACGCGCUCUCUGGGACAGGUGCCAACUCCGAGACAAAAGACAUAAAAUAGGCGGCAACGGGGGAAGCGCGGCCGGCGCGCUCGGGCGGGGACGGAGGCGCCGCGGGGGCCGCAUCCUCGGUGCCGACCGGGGAAAGUUUGGGAACUCGCCGCAGCGGCUUCGCAGCGGCGGGGGACGCUCGGGCCGGGCCGCCCUCCGCGCCGCGCUCACCCUCUCCGCGCCGCUGCUGAAUAAUUCAUGGCGCGGCCGCCGGCCAUUAGCAUGCACCGGGCGCGCGGCGCGUCUGUGCCAAGCCGCCGCCGCCGCAUUCGGCGCCCGGGCCGCGCCAGACGAGCGGCCGCGCGGAGGCCGGGCCCGCGCUGUCCCCGCGGUCGCCCGGCGGCGCCCAUUGUGCCCUCGGCCCGCGCCGCCCGGCCGCCCCGAGCCCGGCCGCAACCCGCAGCGCGCCCGACGGCCCGGCGCUGCAAGUUGGGGCCCGCGGCGCCGGCCCGCCCGCCCCGGGAUGCACGUGAACUUGGAGAAAGUCGCGGGGCGCGCCGGCCCGGACCUCCGCGGCAGGGCGUGGGCGUCCCCCGCCAGGCGCGCUUUCGUUUUCGUCCGGGACAAAGGUCCUCGCGGCGCUGGUCGCAGACACGGAGACCAGGUACUGCGGGCCACUCUUCGUUGAGGUCCGGUCGUUCAAUCCAGGAAAGCCGGAGCCGGGAGAAAGAGGAGCGGCGCGAUGCGGGACCGGGGAAGUGGGGCCUGGCCGUGCGCUUCGCCGGCGCUGCCCCGGAGCCGUCCCCGCUGCGGAGAGUUGCGGGAGAUGGCAUCGCUCUGCUCUCUGCCGUUUCGGCGCCUGAAGGAGGGAAGCAUUUGGAACCCAGGACUCAGACCGAUGACCCAGGGCCUUUGCAGCCGCGGGCACGGCAGCCUAGCGCCGGCUGCUUCCGAGCGCGUUCCUCCAGCAAGGGCACGGCUGUCGACCUGCGCGCCCCGGGUCGCGAUCGGGUUCAAGGCGACUCCUGAGAACGGGCAGGCCUUCCACCGACGAGGGGACACACGGACGAGGUCGCUCUGGAACCCGAAGCCGCACCAGCUUUCAAGAACUCCACGGCCGUCGUUAAGAUUCUGGAACUUGGAAUUUGUGAAAUACAGCCGCUCAUCUCAGGGCCAGCCCCAGGAUGGCCCCUCGCCUGCACUUCGCCAUGCCUGGCCUCUGGCCACUACGAGGCCCGAGAACUUCCUGAGUGACGGGGCUCCAGCUGCUGGCAGGGGCUGGCUGCUCAGCAUGGGCAGUGUGUGGUGAUGAGGCCUCCACUCUGGCGGGUCCCGGAGCAUGCUGCCUGAACUGGUGCGGACAGCACUCUGCUCAGUGGAAACAGCAGGAAGCUUUCCACUGGGGUGACUUUUGGUCCGUGUGCUUUGCACCUGACUGGGGCCAACUCUCUAUGAACCAGUCUCACUUGCUCCCAUCCUCAGCAGGGUGCUGGGGCCUGUCCUGCCCUGGCGUGGACUGGGCCUGACUGGAAGACAGCCCGUGGGGCCGAGGGAGGGACCAGGGACUUUGUCCGCCCUGAUGGGCACCUUGCCUGGAUGGGUGCUCUCUUGUACUCAGGGAAAUCCCUUGCGAGGCACCGAUGUGUGCUCCCACUGAGGCCCUUCCAUGCCAGGCAGGAAACCAUCUUAAAACCACCAGCCUUGGUGGUGGUUGUUGGGCUUGGAAGGGUGUAUUUGCAUAUUUGGGGAGAAGGGAGAAUACUCGUGCAGAAGUCCCAUUAAGCUGGAGUGUCCCAGCUCACAUCCGGGCAGCUGCGGUCCAGCCCCUGCCCCUGGCUCACCGUGUGACCCUGGACAAGUCACAUCACCUUCCUGGGCCUGUACCCUGAGCUCAGGAGCAGGAGGGUCGUUGGGAGGGUUCAGAUGACAUUAUUUCCACAAAGCACAGUUCCUGGCACGUGGCAGGGACGCGGUAAAUGGCUGCUGCUGCUUGUUAUCGUUGUAAAUGGUAAUCGCCAUUUUUAUUGCUAGUUACUAUAUUUUUGAGUUUCUAGGGAACAGAAAGCCCAGUUUUGGUUGCACCAGAAAAGACACCUGGAAGUUUCCUCCCCCUCCCCCCGCCAGGUGGUAGUGCAAGUGCACCUUGAGGAUAUUUUCUUCAAGGUAGACUGUCAGGAGCCUGCAGAGGGGGCUUUCCUUGUCAGGGGGACUUGGCCUGGAAGCACUGGGUACACUGGAUGGGACCAGGCCCCUGGAGUCCUCCCAAGAGGUCCCCUGAUGCCCCUCGCAAGAAUGGCACUUGAAGAGCUCACCUGGGUGCUGGCCCCGGGGCUCAGACCCCGAAAGAUGAGGGCAAGACAUCCUGACUGCGAGGUCCGGAGGGGCCAUGCCAGCCACCAGCAUCCUUGCUGGCAACAUGGGUGGCAGUUCCGUGGGAGGGUUUCACCAUUCUGAUGGGCUAAUUGUUCCUUAGCCUGAUACAAGCCUACGUUUACCAAAAUGCUGGCUUUGGGAGAAUUUUAUCUCUUAGCUGAUCGUUCAGGAAGACCCAGCAAGAUGGCCCUUUCUCAAAACAUCUUGUUGGAACAAGAAAGAACCAUAAAUGGCAUCAGCCAUGCUUUUCUGAUGUUAUGCGGCCGAGGAGGGAGAAAAAGUAACAAUUGUCUCCGAGUGAAGACAAUGGACCUUUUAUAUGAAAUAUUUAUUUUCAGGGCCAACCAGUGUCCCGUUGGCUGGGACAGUGGAGCUCGAGUGUCUGGGUGUUGCGGGCCCUGAGAACUCAGGGACGAGAUUUACAGAAAAGGAAGAAAGAAAGUCCCCACCCGUGGUUCUUGGGAAACUUCAGUGGGAACGGCUGGCUUUCUUUAUCAAGUGGAAUUUAAACUUCCACGAGUUUCUUUUUUCUUCUGUGAUUUCUUUUGAAAGACCCGCAGGGGCACAUUCGCAGCCCCGGAAAGAUAGCUGGGUUUUGGCUCUUGGGCUGGAUGGCUCCCUCGGGCCAGGCCCUGUUGGCCUUUGUCUGCUGGGGGGUGGCAGAGUGCAAGUGAGAAAAACAGGACUGGAAGAGGAAGGGUCUGUCCCUGAGGGUUGGGGGGAGCCCGCCGAGUGCGAUUUGGGACAGUAUUUGUGGUUCUCCGGUGUCCUUUACUCCUCCCCAAAUCCCGUUCUGUGAUGAACUCAGGAGCGGCCUGCAGGUUAUUGGAGUCUGGCCUGACUUGGCAGAGCCACACACAGACCCUCAAACACUGUCCCCAGCUGGAGAGGGUAUGUUUGUAACUCUUGGAUGGAUGUUUUCUGAAUUAAUAGAAUGAACAGAAUUUCACUGAGGCCUACCCAUGAGCCACCUCCCUCUUGCCUUCGCGGCUGCCGGGAUGGUGCUGGAGCAGCUGGACUCGGUUCCUGCUAAAUUCACAGUCUCAGUGUAGCCGGGAAGGCGCCCUGGGAAGCGAGGCUCAUGUUAGGGACCCGAGGAGGAAUUGAUGGGGCUGGGGCUUGUGAGGAGAGUGUCAGGGAGCGGGUCUUCCCAGCAUUUGGGGCACAAUGGGAAGGCCUGGGACAGUUGGCCCAGGACCCUGGCCAACUUAGGGGGUCCUCAGUCUGGAUGCCCCUACAAAGCGGAUGGAGGACAGAAGGAGUCGCCCGGAUCAGGGUGUGGGGGGCCCUCCCUUCCAUGCGUCCCCUAACCCAAAGACUUUGUUGGCAAAUAAUAUAUUUGGCUUCAAAAAGGAGGUUUUGUUUUUUAAAGCUGCUGUCACCUAUAUUUAUUUUUUAAUCCUGGAAGCUGUUGACUGUGAUCUCUUUCACCUUCUGCGUUAACCUGCCCCCAAAAAUGCUAUGACGAGAGCUCUCUCUCGGGGGUGACCACAACAGAGCCUCUGAGGCCAUGAGUAGAAUUGUAAAAAUGGGAGUGGAAAAGACUGAAAUUUCGUGACCUGGGUCAGAAAAACCCUAACACACAGGCUUUUAUUCACUUUUGGGGAGGAAGGGUUCAAAGUAAAAUGCUGCCCGGUCUUCUUGCGAAAUUUUGGGUGGGAAGCUUGUUUGAGUCGGGGUCCGGGAGCCCUGCCUUUCGGGAGGGCUCAGAAACCCGCGUGGAUGGAUGAACGGAGCGUCUCGACAGCCGGUGGGGGCCGCUGCUCAGUUAGUGGCUGAGGGAUUUUCGGAGUGGAGAUGUGACCAGCGGAGGCCACGCUGAUUGUCGUCAAAUGAGACUGGUGGUUGUGGUUAGGAAAAUGUGUGCUGUGCAUGGGAUGUCCAAAGUAAAAGGCCAAUUUUUUUUUUUUAAGGGAGUAAUAGAAUUUUCUCUCAAGAUUAAAACAAGAACGUCAUCCCUGAUGCCUUUGGUUUCCAGUGCCGGGGCUGGGUUUUUCUGUGAAAUGCCUUCCUUUACGUCUUGGCUUUCCGAUGGCAGAAAGAGCCUCUAGCUGAAAUAUUUACCUGCUGAUUUGGGGCUCUUAAAUCUAGAUUUGCCUUUCAUGUGUUGAAGAGCGAUAUUUACAUUCAAAUCAGCCUUUUAUAAUUACAUUUUAAAUUAUAAUAAAACGAUGGUGGGGGGGGCGGCUUCAGUCUUCCAUGUGUUUAACAGGGAAAGUCGCUGGGCGAAUGGCGUGUGGCUUGCACAUCCCAUCGCCAGACCUGCCCAGGCUCAGAGCAGGUGCCUGAAGUACAGAUUCUGGCCUGCAGGGUCACACGUGUGUCCUGAGCAUGUCAGGGUCCGUGGAUGUCGCCUGUGGAGCCCUCCCCGAUCUGCCUGGAGAAGAGUUUGUGGAUGGGGAUUCUGGCCCCAGCACAGUGGGGACGCUGCCAAACCUCAUGGCAUGCAGUUCCAGCCUGAUUCGGGCCUGGCUGCCCUGCCGCCCUGGCUGAUAUGUUGUGUCCUGAGCUUCACGCUGGCCCGCAGGCCUCGGGGUGGAGGCCAUUAUCUCCUAGGUGGCCAGCUGGGCACAGCAGCGGCCACUCCUGGUCGUGGCGAUACUGUGUGUGUGUUGGGGUGGGGAGUGCCCACCUCCUCCUGCAGCCGUAACCCAGGUUGUGCCUUCUCUCUCCUGUCAGGGCCGGCCCCAAAAUGGCCACCCAGUUUUCAGGGGCUUCCCUCGUGGAGUAUGGGGGGACCCUGUCCUCCCGGGGCCAGGCUGCUGGCAGCCGUGCCAAGCCCUUUCUGGAAUGGAAUUCCCAGCGUUCCUGGUCGGGCGCAUGGCAUCGGAAUCCUACCUGCUUUGUCUCUGGCAUCAGCUGGCGACUGGUCACGUGGCCUUGUGCAUAAGACCAGAGCCCGAGGACCAGAGGGCUCCUCCUGGCUGCUUCCUCCUCAUUCACUCGGUCCCCCCCUCCUUUCGCUUUGGGCAUGACAGUCUCUGAGCAGGCAUAAAGCAAUAUUAAAAUAAAAUGUACUCGAGGCCGCUGGGGAACUCCCAUCCCCAGAUGCCGAGGUGUCCAGGCCGCCGCUUACCUCCAGUCGUUACCAACAGAAAGGCCCGGAGCUGGGGUGUAAACUUACACAGCGGCCCAGCCACGGUCACUCGGUCACUCGUGCUGUCCCCUCCAGUUCAGCACGGAGCUGGCCCUGCCUGCCUGGGAGCCCCUUCCCACACUUGCAGCCUCGCGGCUCACCCUGCACAGGGAUAGCCUGGCGGUCGUUGCCUCAGCUCCUGGCCGCAUAAAAAGGCUGGAGGAGAGACUUGGGCAAACAGGUUGGCCACGCAGACCUGGCCUGCUGCCCGCAGGAGAGGGCAGCUGAGUCUGCCAAAUCUCCGAAUGAAAGUGCCCACAUUUAAACCAAGCCCACUGACCCGGGUCAGAGGGCCGAGCGUGGGCAUGGGUCACCUCUCCCCUUGGUGGUAAGGAUUGGCUUUGGUGAAACUGAAGGAUUUGUGGUGGUCUGAGAGGGAUAUGGUGACGUGCCUGGACUCUGGACCCCUCGUGACUGCUUGGCCACCUUUUGGCCCCUGUCUGCAUGGUGGCCGUGUCCUGAGUGCCGAUGACGUACCACGUGCCAUGCUCAGCACUCCGCUUGCAGUUUUGUCAUCAAAGCAGCCCUGAGUGGCAGGAGCCAUUAUCCCUAUUCUUUUUACAGAUGGGGAAACUGAGGCUGGGAGAGGCAGCGUGGCUUGCCCUGGGUUAGGUGGCCAGUUGGGCACAAGGCCAGAUUCAAACCUGUGACCACGGCCUCAGCUGCAACCGAACAGCCUCCCAGGGCCUUGGCUAGAAUGGGCUCCCUCCAAGGGCCGGCCAGGGAGCUGUUGGGGUGGGGGCUCUCGGCCUGGCCCGGGGAGCACAGCCGGGGUGCCGGCCGCCGCCUGCUCCUCUGCAGGGCCCGGCAUGGGAACAAUGCGGCCUCUAUCCCGGGAGUGAGCCCAGGCCGCCUGGACUCCCGGAGCAGCCGGCCAGGCCGCCUGCCCGCAACAUGGCGCCCGGGGCCGCGCCACCCGUCCACGGGGAGGGCUGGCGCCUGGGCCGGGCCUGGGCCAGCCGGCUCCCGGCGUCCCCCUCGGGCUGGCCGCUGAGUGGCCAGACGCUCCUGCUUCCUCCUCCCUCUCCCGCCUGGCCAGCCCCCCCUUCCUGCUGGUGGGUUUGGGGGUCCGGCCCACCCGCCUCUGCCACGUCUGCCAUCCUCCCGGCACCCAUGAGCAUCUUUCAAAAAUUCCCGGUGGGCGGGGCCGAGCCGCAGCGGCCGCCUCUGGCCCCCCCUCCCCGGGCAGCCAGUGCCAGAUGAGAGCAGGAGACAAAAGUAGCAUUUUCCUCGUCCUCCUGGGCUGGCAGCAGGGCCUCCCCCAGCGCCACUUGGCUCCUGGCAGCCCUGCCCCCGGGUGCCGUGGUGGCCGAGGCCCAGGCCGCACCGGCUAGGACCAAGGGACCGAUGGACGACGGUGGCCAGAGACCAGGAGGCCUGAGGGCCUGUCGGUCGGGGGCUGGCACCUGGAGACAGCCUGCUGGCCGGCAGGACCUGUCCUCCUCUGCCUGCCUCUGUGACCGGCAGGCAAGGGGACACCAUCUUCACCUCCUUGCUUUUGAGAACGCCCCUCGUCCUCCUGCGCCUUGGAACGUGGCUCCUCCCAGGGCACCCCCAAGAAAGUGGGCACCCAUCAUGGCCUUUGGAAGAUGCUCCGGGACUGCACCAGGUCUCACCCCUUCUUUCCAGCUGCUUCAUUCCCUGCGUGACACCGGAAGCUCGGACAACAGUGCCAGCUCAGGUCAAAAAGUGGUGGCGAGACAGGAGCUGCUGACCUCGGCCGAGCUUCCUCACCGUUCCCUCUGGCCUUCGCCGUCGACUGGGCAUGGCCUGAAGCAGCCACGGUCCACUGCCGGGUGUCUGCAUGGAAGAGGAGCGCUCAGCCUCAUCUCUCUGCAAUGGAGGUGCCUCUGGAAGCCGUGAAGUCCGUCCGGGAGCCAAGACUGACGGCCCUUUGGGGUGAGGUAGUAGGUUGUAUAGUUUGGGGCUCUGCCCUGCUAUGGGGUAACUAUACAAUCUACUGUCUUUCCUGAAGUGGCCGUAAUAUCAACGGUGGACAGCAUCCAGAACCCUGGCUGGGAGGGUCAUGGGUGGCAAGCUGGGGGUGGGGAGCAACCCUGCGGGGUGGGUGGCAGUGGCUGCCAUGCAGUAAGAAGACUGACAGGCCUAGGGUUCACUUGCUGUGUGAUCUUGGGCAGGUCCCUUAAUCUCUCUGGGCUUCAGUUUUCUCAUCUGUGAAAUGGGGGCAAGUGAGGAUUAAAGGAGAUAGUGUGUCAAGUGUCUAGGGUGGGGGGCUCGGAAUUGGCCCUUACUUCUCUACCCACUGUGCUGAGACCCAGUAGAUGCAUGGGACAGUUUGUGCAGCCUGCUCCCCUAUCCUGUGGGUGGCCCCAAGCACGUGUCUGGACUGUGCCCUCAGCUGUGUCCCUGUGGCCAGCGCUGGGCACCAGGAGGAAUUGCUGUGGGCUUGGCUGAGGUUGCAGGGCAGGGAGACCCACGGGUCUGCCUUCAUCAGUGCGUCCCCCAGACGAUGCUCCAGCCUGUCCAGCUCAGCGUCAGGCCUGGGGAGGGUGGGAGCCGGGGCCAUCCCUCCUUGUGGCUCAGCUCUCCCGAGCAGGAAGCGGGAGGGGCGUUGUCCCAGCCCAGCGAGCGCCCUCGGCCCCUCCGGCUCAGGCCCACCCUGCCCUCCAGCAGCCUGCAGGUGGACGGUAUGGGCUGCACUGCGUGGGGAAACCGAGGCACCAUCUGCAUUUUCGCUCCUGCCCUGCGCCUGCCCAGCCCUCCAGCUCAGCUCUGGUGGCUGCGGACCACCGGGCAGGGCUGGGCUGGGCGUGGGGCAGCGGCGGGCCACGGACCCUCCCGCCCCUGGGCGCCGGCGGGGUGAGGUAGUAGGUUGUGUGGUUUCAGGGCAGUGAUGUUGCCCCCUCGGAAGAUAACUAUACAACCUACUGCCUUCCCCGAGGAGCCCCGCGACACGUGCCCGCGGGAGGGCCCACCCCACGCGCCACGCUCCAGGGGGAUGCCGGGGCUCUGGCCGGGCAGUGGGAGGCCACAGUGUGCACACCUGACUGUAAUAAAAGCUGAUGUGAAACUGGAAUCUGGCCCCUUCUUCCUUCUGGAAGCCCAUGGGCUGGACGGCGGAGAGUGUGUGCGUGUUGGUGGUGCCAUGGGGGGCAUGUGUGUGGCCUGACUGAGGAGCUGCCACCUGGACCCUUGGGGUCACCAGGCCUCCCGUCUGCACCCCCGGCCCGCCCAUUCCAGCAGCCCUCAGACCCCUCCGAUGGGUUCAGUCCUAGACCCAGACCCAGCCCAUCCUCUACCCCACUCAUACCCCCUCCGAGGGCGGGGCUGUGGGACCCCGGCCCCAGAGGUGUUACUUGGCCCCCAGCCUGGUGGAGAAGCCCACCGGACAGCUGCCUUGUGGGUGGUACAGACCCCACAGGAGCUCCGAGCGCAGUCCGGGGCCUGGCCCCCUCGGCCCCCUCAGUACCUGGGGCUUGACUGGAGCCCGGAAGUUCCCGUCGUCCCAUACCCAGCUCCCCCAGGACAUUUCCAGGGUCGCCCUUGUUUCAGGUGUCCGUCCUUGGGCCGUGUGCCAUUGCAAGCAUUCAUUGUGUUUCUGCCUGAGGCCUUGGCUCUUGUGUUGGUGGCGGCCGCAGGCCUGUCCCUGUGAUCCCAGCCUGAGUGUUAGAAGGGGCCUGUCCGUGCCUGACCCAGUGCUGAGAGCACCCCUCCGGGGGCAACACCCUCCCCUGUACCCACGAUGCCCGGCACAGACCCCAGUAAGGCACCACCUUCCUAGCCAGAGCCAGCCCCUCAAGUCACCCCACAACCCCCUAGGAAAGACAGUUCCAGGCUGGCCCUUGCAACAGUGUGCACAGAACCGAACUCCACCGCACCCCCAAAUGCUGCUGCCUGACAACAGAGCUGACAGGACAGAAACAGUCCUCAGUUAGUGAUCUAGGACAGGGACCCUGUGACAGGGACCAGAAGAGGCUCUUGACCCAGCCAGGGGUCCGCAGAGGCCCCAUGUGGAGGGGCCAGCUGAGCUGAGCACCUCUUGGCCAUGCACACAGCAGCCUGGGGUCCUGGCGGGACCCAGUGCCCUCAGCCCUCCCACCUUGGUGAUUGUCUCCAAGCUGCAUCUUGGCCCCAAGCUCCAUCCUGAGUCUCCUGGUCUCCUACUUGGUCUUUGAAGGUCCCCCCAGACCCACAUGACCAUGCCUGGGCAGACCAGCAAGUGCCUGUCUUCACCCUGGGCCUAUUGCCCUCAAGGGGCUGCGGGAGCCCAGAUCAGGGACCCCAAGAGGCAGGGCUUCCUAAACAGGAGCUAUCUGAGCUGGGUCUUGAUGGUUGUGCAGGAGUUUGCAGCUGGAGACAGAGUGAGGAGCUCCUUUGCCCUCUGGGGCCGGGGCCAUGGCACACUCUGGCACCAUCCACCUCCCCGACUACCCCAUACCCAGUCAGUGGCAGAGUCCGGCCUCCUGUGUCUCCUGAGCAUCUUUUCCGUCCCUCUCUCCAUCCGCACUCUCACCACCAGGCCUCAGAGCCUCUCUGAGCAGCCCCUCUGCAUUCUUGCAGGCACUCGGUCUCCCUGUGCAUAGCCCCGACCUCGCACCUGUGCGCAGCCUCACCUAGACCCCUCCCUGUCCAUCAGGCUCUGAACACGCAGCCCCCUCCUCUGAACAUCCACAGCUCAGACACUGCCUUUGACCAUGGUAACUGUGUGUGAGCCAACCGUGACGGUGAACACCCGGAGAAGUCUGUGCAUCCUUUCCUUCCCGCACCUCUGCUGUGCCCAGCCCUGCGAUUGGAGCCGGGCUCUGCCUGCAGAGCUCACGGCCUGAUGGGAAGCAGCCAGGGACACACAGAAGCCACCCAUUGUGGUCAGCACCAUGAAAGGAAUGGCCCAGGAGCUGGGAGAGCCCUGAGGAGCCCUGGACCCAGCCCUGCAGUGAGGGGUGGCUUCCUGGAGGAGGUGACACCUGGCUCACUCUGUCCCUCCCUACCUUCCAGCCAACCAACUUCCAGCCUCUCCUCUGCCAGCUGGCAGUUUCUAAAGACACUGAGAUUGGAACCCACCCAAAUGUGGGCAGGGGGGCGGGGUGGGGGGGGCAGGUGCUACCUGUCAUCUGGUCAUCAGCGACAUGGAGAAGCACUUCAGUCCCAAAACAAACUGGGCGAAGUCAUCAGUGUGACCAAAGCAGCUGGUUUGUUUUCAUCCUGCCCGCCUAGCCCUGGGAGCCCCAACUUCAAGGACAAAGGCCUGGGGCGGUGGCUCUGCGCAGUGAGCCUCCACUCGCCGGUCCCACUUCACCGGGCGCACGGGAUGUGCGGAGGCAGCAGCCCGAAGACCUUUGCUCUGGCGGGGGCACAGGGUGGGAACAGCACAAGGGCUGGGGGGCAGGGGGAACGGACCUGAACCCUGGGCGCCUGGCGCCACCUGCCGCCUCAUCCAGGGAGUGGCUCCUGGUGGGGCUCGGGGCUGGUCAGCAGGUGAGCAGGCGGAGAGCAGGCUGGGGGCCCCAGGACUCGGCCCCACCAGACUAUGGGCUCCCCAGGCAGGUGGGGACCGUGGUCAGAGAUGUGGAUGAGUCAACUUGAGAACAGCCCAGCUCAAGUCCAUGGAGAAGAGUGAGGGACCCGGACCUUGAGGUGGCCCCUGCGUCCCCAGGCGUGUGGGAGCCAGGCCCACACGGACCCCUCCCAGCUGAGGCGGGUCACCGAAGCACGGCUGUAUUCCACAGAAAAGAGGUCUGUGUGUCCUUGCUUCUCCUGGGAGAGGACCGUUCAGACUCCAAGGGCUUCUGGGUGUCAAGCAUAGGUCGUUUGAGAGCCUGUGGGCCCUAGGGUCCACAAGGCCACCUCUGACCCUGGACCCCCAGGAGGGACAGAUGAGCCAGUCCAGCAUUUAGACCGUACAGCCUGGAGCCGAGCUAUGGCCUGCCUGGCCGCAGGGCAUCGAAGGACAGGGCGUCACCCAGGGCCAGGACUACGGUGAGUGGCAGAGGCCUGGCGUCUCAGGGGCCCUCACUCUCGGGUCGGUGGCAGGGCACAGAGCCGAGGCCCGCAUACUGUUAGGGGCCCAGAAGGCAGUUUCAUUUCAAUUCCUUUCCAAAUCUAAAGGAAAAUGAAUACCACGAUUUUCAAUGUAUCUAGUAGCGAAUAUGUAUUAUACAUAAUAUAUGAUUACAGAGUGAAUGUAUAUAAUAAUACGUGGUAUAUAAUUUAUGACAUCUAUAAUAAUGAAUCCAGCCUGGAUUAUGUUCGUCUUUAACCACCCAGUCAUAAAACCUGUUCUGUCAUCUGUUUUAUGGAGCAAGGACCCAGGAAGGCAGUGCCCCGGCUGUAAGCUGGCCUGGGCCCACCCGGGAGAGUGGCCGCUGCACGGCCUCCCCAGAACAUGACGCCUCCUCCAGCUCCGUGCCCUGGGCUCCUCACUUGCCGGGCUGUCAACCCCGCAGUCCCCCUCCUGGCCACCCUUGAGAGAGGCCUGGGCCACGGCCAGCCAGACAGCCCUUCCAUCAGACUGUGCGUCUCCCGACAGUGACACCGUGUGGUGGCAGGAGGUGGUGGCAGCCAUGAGCUGUGAGCUGCCAAGCCCUGGCCACACCCUCCGUGGCCUCAGCCCAAGGCUGUGGAAGUGGGUGACCCGUCCUGGGCCGGAAGCCUCAGGUUCAAGGUCAACUCGGGGAGGGGGGCCCGGGGGCACUUCCUGCUCCUCCGGUGGGUGGGGCCUGAGCGCAGACCGAGUAAUAACUGAGCAGCUUCUGCUCACACCCCCUGCCCUUCGCUCCGUGUUCUGCACGCCCUGCCAUGGUCCCCAGCACAGAGGAGGGCCCCGGUGACAGGGCUGGCAGCAUCCUGCUCGCCGUCAACGAGCCCUCAGUGUCACUGCCCCAUCUCGGCCCCCCUCCUCACAGCCACACCCAAAGCAAACCUGCCCCCUCUACUCACAGGGGACCAGAGGGAGCAGCCCGGGAUCCAGACCCACAUCUGUCCCCAGGUACCUCCCACUGGCCCGAGGUCAGGCUUCCUGCAGGAAGGGAGACCAUCCCCAACCUGGGAGGAUGGGAGACUGGGUUGUCAGGAGACCUGGAGAGGAGGGUGGCCCCAGCAGUGCCCCCGACCCCUCCCAGGGCUCCCACGGCCUCCUGGGCCCAGGGCCAGAGCCAGGCCUAGAACCCCCCGCUGCUGAGAGUCUACCUGGGGGCCAGAUCUCUCUGGAAGGAGUAACUUCCCCAGGAAUGGGGGUGGGGGGCUCAGGCCGUUGGUUUAAAUACUGGUGAGCCAGCCGCCACUGGUGACACCAUGUGCCAGCAUGGAGUCUCCGGUCCUCAGGACAAUCCUGGAGGGGCUGCCGUCCUGAGCCCAUGUCAUGGAAGCAGACACUGUGGCUCAGAGAGAUGUGGCCACACAGCAGCCCAGGGCAGAGCUGGAAUAGCAACCAGGUCUGUCCACCCCAGGGCCUGUAGCUGGGCGGGGAGGGACAGGUGCAGCUCUGGGGUCCCUUCCUUGUGACCAAGGGAACGGGCCAGGCCCAGGGCCCUCAGGUGCCUUAGCCACCCGCCUCGCACCUGAGGGUUCACUUUAACAAGAGAAUAGUGGCCGCCUGUGCACCACGCGUCUGGUCCCCCAGAGGGAAGUGACCUGUCUACCCUCAGACUUGACCUGGCCUCAAAGGUGGUGGGGCCUGUCCCUGGUGGACCUGGACCCCAGCCCUCCACCUUCUCCAAUCCUGGGUGUCCAGGCCCCUGGCCAAGCCCCAGGCAGGCAGUGCCGUCCAGAUGUGGUGAGCAUGUAGAGCUGACCUCCUGGGGUCUCGGGGGAUCCCACAGAAAAGGGCACCUGUCCUGCGGAAGGCCUUCCCCCACAUCAGGGGGCCCCACUGGGCCUCCCCUCAGCCUGCCCCUCUGCUGCCCAUUUCCUCGGUCAGCCCCGAGAAGCCCCGGGCACCUGGCACCCGUGGGAAGAUGUUCUAUCGCACCACAUCCGGCCAAGAGACUGGAGGGUCUGGGAGCGUCAGGGCCGGGGGGAACCGGUGGAGGAUGAUGUGAAGGCCUGGG